UGAGUUUCAGGUUCUACGUUAGAAGUGUAUCGAGUGUUUAUAAUUGGUCAUUUGUGAUGAACUAAGCACUACCGUAACCUGGUCUGUGUGUUGUAGGUCAAGAUAUUAUUCAUAUAAGCACUAACGUAACCUGGUCUGUGUGCCUCUACGAGCGAACAGCAGCUCCUCACAUCGAACAUUAGCUUCAACCGCGAUGUUUCGAACAAGAGUUUUGGCUGUUGGUUGAAUACCGCGUCCAAUAAUUGAGUCUACAAUAGCUGGCUAGGUCCAAACCAGGAGAACAGAUCCUCUAUUUCUUCUACUACACUCCGUAGCUGCUCAAGACUCACCGAACCCGGUCCUCUUAUCGUUUGUUUCGACGAGUCUAGAAUCGAUCCCUCCCAACGGAAAAUU
rnacentral:rRNA from 1 species